GAUGAACGUUAGCGGGAGGCUUAAUACAUGCAAGUCGAGCGGUAAGUUUUUAUAGCAAUAUGAAGACCUAGAGCGGCGCACGGGUGAGUAACGCGUACACGACCUGGCCUAAACUGGGGGAUAGCCUUGGGGAACUGAGAGUAAUCCCGCAUGUGAUUAUGUUACUGAUGGUGAUAUAAUUAAAGCUUCGGCGGUUUAGGAUGGGUGUGCGUCUGAUUAGCUAGUUGGUAGUGUAACGGACUACCAAGGCGAUGAUCAGUAGGGGGCGUGAGAGCGUGACCCCCCACACGGGUACUGAGACACGGACCCGACUCCUACGGGAGGCAGCAGUAAGGAAUAUUGGUCAAUGCCCGGAAGGGUGAACCAGCCAUCCCGCGUGAAGGAUGAAGGGGCUCUGCCUUGUAAACUUCUUUUGUAUGGGGCGAAAAAAGGGGAUUUAUCCUCGACUGACGGUACCAUAAGAAUAAGCACCGGCUAACUCCGUGCCAGCAGCCGCGGUAAU
rnacentral:rRNA from 1 species